CCCGCUGAACUUAAGCAUAUCAAUAAGCGGAGGAAAAGAAACCAACAGGGAUUGCCUUAGUAACGGCGAGUGAAGCGGCAAAAGCUCAGAUUUGAAAUCUGGUGCCAUAAUGGCAUCUGAGUUGUAAUCUGUAGAGGAGUAUUCGAGUGUGGCUUUGGCUUAAGUUCCUUGGAACAGGGCGUCAAAGAGGGUGAGAACCCCGUUUGCGGCCUUUGUCCUAUGCUCAUGUGAAUCUCCUUCAACGAGUCGAGUUGUUUGGGAAUGCAGCUCUAAAUGGGUGGUAAAUUCCAUCUAAAGCUAAAUACUGGCAAGAGACCGAUAGCGCACAAGUAGAGUGAUCGAAAGAUGAAAAGAUCUCUGAACAGAGAGUUAAAUAGUACGUGAAAUUGUUGAAAGGGAAGCACUUGCUACCAGACACACUUGCAAUUAAUCAACCUCCAUUUUUGGUGGUGCACUUGGUUGUAGGUGGGUCAGCAUCAGUUCGGCUUGGGGGAUAAAGGCUUCGGGAAUGUGGCUCUCUCCGGGGAGUGUUAUAGCCCGUUGCGUAAUACCCUGGGCCGGACUGAGGUUCGCGCAUCUGCAUGGAUGCUGGCGUAAUGGUCAUCAGUGACCCGUCUUGAAACACGG
rnacentral:rRNA from 1 species